GAUGAACGCUGGCGGCGUGCUUAACACAUGCAAGUCGAGCGAAGCACUUGGACAACUUCGGUUUGAAGAGUGACUGAGCGGCGGACGGUGAGUAACGCGUGGGUAACCUGCCUCACACAGGGGGAUAACAGUUAGAAAUGACUGCUAAUACCGCAUAAGACCACAGCACCGCAUGGUGCAGGGGUAAAAACUCCGGUGGUGUGAGAUGGACCCGCGUCUGAUUAGCUAGUUGGUGGGGUAACGGCCUACCAAGGCGACGAUCAGUAGCCGACCUGAGAGGGUGACCGGCCACAUUGGGACUGAGACACGGCCCAAACUCCUACGGGAGGCAGCAGUGGGGAAUAUUGCACAAUGGGCGAAAGCCUGAUGCAGCGACGCCGCGUGAAGGAUGAAGUAUUUCGGUAUGUAAACUUCUAUCAGCAGGGAAGAAAAUGACGGUACCUGACUAAGAAGCCCCGGCUAACUACGUG
rnacentral:rRNA from 1 species